rnacentral:rRNA from 1 species
UACGUAGGUGGCAAGCGUUGUCCGGAUUUACUGGGCGUAAAGAGCGCGCAGGCGGUCGUUCAAGUCGCGUGUGAAAGCCCCCGGCUCAACUGGGGAGGGUCACGCGAUACUGAUCGACUCGAAGGCAGGAGAGGGAAGUGGAAUUCCCGGUGUAGUGGUGAAAUGCGUAGAUAUCAGGAGGAACACCGAUUGCGAAGGCAGCUCGCUGGAACGUUACUGACGCUGAGACGCGAACGCGUGGGGAGCAAACAGG